rnacentral:rRNA from 1 species
AGAGUUUGAUCAUGGCUCAGAUUGAACGCUGGCGGCAGGCCUAACACAUGCAAGUCGAACGGUAACAGGAAGCAGCUUGCUGCUUCGCUGACGAGUGGCGGACGGGUGAGUAAUGUCUGGGAAGCUGCCUGAUGGAGGGGGAUAACUACUGGAAACGGUAGCUAAUACCGCAUAAUGUCGCAAGACCAAAGAGGGGGACCUUCGGGCCUCUUGCCAUCGGAUGUGCCCAGAUGGGAUUAGCUUGUUGGUGGGGUAACGGCUCACCAAGGCGACGAUCCCUAGCUGGUCUGAGAGGAUGACCAGCCACACUGGAACUGAGACACGGUCCAGACUCCUACAGGAGGCAGCAGUGGGGAAUAUUGCACAAUGGGCGCAAGCCUGAUGCAGCCAUGCCGCGUGUAUGAAGAAGGCCUUCGGGUUGUAAAGUACUUUCAGCGGGGAGGAAGGGAGUAAAGUUAAUACCUUUGCUCAUUGACGUUACCCGCAGAAGAAGCACCGGCUAACUCCGUGCCAGCAGCCGCGGUAAUACGGAGGGUGCAAGCGUUAAUCGGAAUUACUGGGCGUAAAGCGCACGCAGGCGGUUUGUUAAGUCAGAUGUGAAAUCCCCGGGCUCAACCUGGGAACUGCAUCUGAUACUGGCAAGCUUGAGUCUCGUAGAGGGGGGUAGAAUUCCAGGUGUAGCGGCGAAAUGCGUAGAGAUCUGGAGGAAUACCGGUGGCGAAGGCGGCCCCCUGGACGAAGACUGACGCUCAGGUGCGAAAGCGUGGGGAGCAAACAGGAUUAGAUACCCUGGUAGUCCACGCCGUAAACGAUGUCGACUUGGAGGUUGUGCCCUUGAGGCGUGGCUUCCGGAGCUAACGCGUUAAGUCGACCGCCUGGGGAGUACGGCCGCAAGGUUAAAACUCAAAUGAAUUGACGGGGGCCCGCACAAGCGGUGGAGCAUGUGGUUUAAUUCGGUGCAACGCGAAGAACCUUACCUGGUCUUGACAUCCACGGAAGUUUUCAGAGAUGAGAAUGUGCCUUCGGGAACCGUGAGACAGGUGCUGCAUGGCUGUCGUCAGCUCGUGUUGUGAAAUGUUGGGUUAAGUCCCGCAACGAGCGCAACCCUUAUCCUUUGUUGCCAGCGGUCCGGCCGGGAACUCAAAGGAGACUGCCAGUGAUAAACUGGAGGAAGGUGGGGAUGACGUCAAGUCAUCAUGGCCCUUACGACCAGGGCUACACACGUGCUACAAUGGCGCAUACAAAGAGAAGCGACCUCGCGAGAGCAAGCGGACCUCAUAAAGUGCGUCGUAGUCCGGAUUGGAGUCUGCAACUCGACUCCAUGAAGUCGGAAUCGCUAGUAAUCGUGGAUCAGAAUGCCGCGGUGAAUACGUUCCCGGGCCUUGUACACACCGCCCGUCACACCAUGGGAGUGGGUUGCAAAAGAAGUAGGUAGCUUAACCUUCGGGAGGGCGCUACCACUUUGUGAUUCAUGACUGGGGUGAAGUCGUAACAAGAUAACCGUAGGGGAACCUGCGGUUG